UUUCCGUAGGUGAACCUGCGGAAGGAUCAUUAUCGUACAAAAUGUGAGGGGCAUGCGAGGGCUGUCGCUGACCCAAAAUUCGUGCACGCCCGAGUGUGUCCUCUUGCAUAAUAAUCCAUCUCACCCUUUGUGCAUCACCGCGUGGGCACCCUUCGGGAUCAUCUCGGAGGGGGGCUCGCGUUUUCACACAAACCCCCCUUUUAAAAGUGUAGAAUGACCACAUUUAUGCAAUCAAUACAACUUUCAACAACGGAUCUCUUGGCUCUC
rnacentral:misc_RNA from 1 species